ensembl:lncRNA
UGGACAGUGUAGAACAGUUUGUGGGGGAAUUCAUGAUGCGAUUCGGGAGUCCGGAGGCGAAGGAGGAGCUAGAACAACUUCUCAGGGGGGUAAGUCUGGAAGGCGAACCUGCCCUGCCAUUUAUCCACUACUACAGGCAACUUCAUGCAGAGCUCAACUCUGAAAUCCAAGGCAAGCCUCCAGUCCCUGAGAUCCAAGUCAAGCCUCCAGUCCCUGAGAUCCAAGUCAAGCCUCCAGUCCCUGAGAUCCAAGUCAAGCCUCCAGUCCCUGAGAUUCAAGUCAAGCCUCAAGUCAGGAAGGUCCAAGUCCCAGUCAAGUCUCAAGUCAGGAAGGUCCAAGUCAAGCCUCCAGUCCCUGAGAUCCAAGUCAAGCCUCCAGUCCCUGAGAUCCAAUUCAAGCCUCCAGUCCCUGAGAUCCAAGUCAAGCCUCCAGUCCCUGAGAUACAAGUCAAGCCUCAAGUCAGGAAGGUCCAAGUCCCAGUCAAGUCUCAAGUCAGGAAGGUCCAAGUCAAGCCUCCAGUCCCUGAGAUCCAAGUCAAGCCUCCAGUCCCUGAGAUCCAAGUCAAGCCUCCAGUCCCUGAGAUCCAAGUCAAGCCUCAAGUCAGGAAGGUCCAAGUCCCAGUCAAGUCUCAAGUCAGGAAGGUCCAAAUCCACGUCAAAUCUCACGUCCCUGAGAUCCAAGUCAAGUCUCACGUCCCUGAGAUCCAAGUCAAGUCUCACGUCCCUGAGAUCCAGGUCCAGCCGCCAGCCCCUGAGCUCCAGGUCCAGCCUCCAGGCUCUGAUGCCCAAGCCAAGCCUCCAGGCUCUGACGCCCAAGCCAAGCCUCCAG